UGGGAUUCGAUUAGCCUGCGAGUCGAGAGGGUUCGGCCCUCGGCAGACUGCUCAGUAACACGUGGAUAACCUACCCUUAGGUGGAAGAUAAUCUCGGGAAACUGAGAAUAAUACUCCAUAGAUCUAGGCUGCUGGAAUGCAUCUAGAUCAAAAGCUCCGGCGCCUAAGGAUGGGUCUGCGGACUAUCAGGUUGUAGUCAGGGUAAAGACCUGACUAGCCUACGACGGAUAUGGGUUGUGAGAGCAAUAGCCCAGAGACGAUAUCUGAGACACGAUAUCGGGCCCUACGGGGCGCAGCAGGCGCGAAAUCUUCACAAUGUGCGAAAGCACGAUGAGGGAAUCCCAAGUGCUAGCACGUAAGUGUUAGCUGUUUCUUAGUCUAAAAAACUGAGAGAGUAAAGAGCUGGGUAAGACGGGUGCCAGCCGCCGCGGUAAUACCUGCAGCUCAAGUGGUGGCCGCUAUUAUUGGGCCUAAAACGUCCGUAGCCUGUUUAAGUAAAUGCUUGGGUNAAAUUGUGUAAGCUUAACUAUACNAAUACCGGGUANACUGCUAAACUUGGGACCCGGNAGAAGGCUCNAGGUACUCCUUGGGGUANAGGGNGAAAUUCUGNAAAUCCUAAGGGGGACCACCA
rnacentral:rRNA from 1 species